rnacentral:rRNA from 1 species
GGAGGAAAAGAAACCAACAGGGAUUGCCCUAGUAACGGCGAGUGAAGCGGCAACAGCUCAAAUUUGAAAUCUGGCGCAAGCCCGAGUUGUAAUUUGUAGAGGAUGCUUCUAGGUAGCGACCGGUCUAAGUUCCUUGGAACAGGACGUCAUAGAGGGUGAGAAUCCCGUAUGUGACCGGCCCGCACCUUCUACGUAGCUCCUUCGACGAGUCGAGUUGUUUGGGAAUGCAGCUCUAAAUGGGAGGUAAAUUUCUUCUAAAGCUAAAUACCGGCCAGAGACCGAUAGCGCACAAGUAGAGUGAUCGAAAGAUGAAAAGCACUUUGGAAAGAGAGUUAAAAAGCACGUGAAAUUGUUGAAAGGGAAGCGCUUACAACCAGACUUCUGGGCGGUGUUCCGCCGGUCUUCUGACCGGUCUACUCACCGUCCCGAGGCCAACAUCAUCUGGGACCGCCGGAUAAGACCUUAGGAAUGUAGCUCCCCUCGGGGAGUGUUAUAGCCUGUGGUGAUGCGGCGCGUCUCGGGUGAGGUCCGCGCUUCGGCAAGGAUGUUGGCGUAAUGGUUGUCAGCGGCCCGUCUUGAAACACGGACCAAGGAGUCUAACAUCUAUGCGAGUGUUCGGGUGUCAAACCCCUACGCGUAAUGAAAGUGAACGGAGGUGGGAAGGGUAACCUGCACCAUCGACCGAUCCUGAUGUCCUCGGAUGGAUUUGAGUAAGAGCAUAGCUGUUGGGACCCGAAAGAUGGUGAACUAUGCCUGAAUAGGGUGAAGCCAGAGGAAACUCUGGUGGAGGCUCGCAGCGGUUCUGACGUGCAAAUCGAUCGUCAAAUUUGGGUAUAGGGGCGAAAGACUAAUCGAACCAUCUAGUAGCUGGUUCC